GUUUUGUUUUUAUUAUUGUUUCUUUAUAACGGUGAAAGAAGUUCACGGUCGGGGCUGCCUUGGAUUUAAUGAUGCCGUGUUGUCUUAGAUUUGGAAUAACAUUGCUGUUAGCAGUGUUAGUCACAGAAGUUUGGACGCAGAACCCCCCUCUAGGCUCGGUGAGGACAGAAUGUCAAGGGAGUGUUAUGU